UACGGAAGGGGCAAGCGUUGUUCGGAAUCAUUGGGCGUAAAGGGCGCGUAGGUGGUUCUGUAUGUCUACCGUGAAAGCGUACGGCUCAACCGUAUUUUGUCGGUGGAAACUGCAGGACUUGAGGCUUGGGAGGGGCUGGUGGAAUUCCCUGUGUAGCGGUGAAAUGCGUAGAGAUGGGGGAGAACACUCGUGGCGAAGGCGGCCAGCUAGACCAGUUCUGACACUGAGGCGCGACAGCGUGGGGGAGCAAAACAGG
rnacentral:rRNA from 1 species